CGGACGGGUGAGUAAUGUAUGGGGAUCUGCCCGAUGGCGGGGGAUAACUACUGGAAACGGUAGCUAAUACCGCAUAAUGUCUGCGGACCAAAGCGGGGGACCUUAGGGCCUCUUGCCAUCGGAUGUGCCCAGAUGGGAUUAGCUAGUAGGUGGGGUAAAGGCUCACCUAGGCGACGAUCCCUAGCUGGUCUGAGAGGAUGACCAGCCACACUGGAACUGAGACACGGUCCAG
rnacentral:rRNA from 1 species